AUGAACCCCAAAGGGGUGACCUGAGAACACAAGAAGAUGUAAUUUGCUUGCUGCAUUUUGCCUUCUCCUUUUGAUGGCAGCUCGGCAAGGCCAAAUCACUUGUGUUCUUAGGUAGCACCCCUUCGGGGUUAAC
rnacentral:pre_miRNA from 1 species